AUGGGUGGAAUGUCUUUCGAUGUGCCUUCUCACACACAUUCCCAUGAAGAUGCCGUUGAAGAUCUUGCUAACACCGUCGGAGCUUCACGUGAUGCGGUGCGUGAUGAGGAGAGAGAGGAAGAUUCAUCUUCGGAGGCGGAAGAAUCGUCUUCAGAAGAUGAGGACGAAGACGAGGAAGAUGAUUCAUGUAUUCAGUAA
rnacentral:rRNA from 1 species